ensembl:lincRNA
GGUUCAGUGCUGUCAGGGAGAUCAGUCGGUCAACAAAUGCCCCCUGGCACCCGCAUGGGCUGUGACCAGUGCUAGAUGAUGCUGGGACUCCAGAGAGAGCCAUAACUAUGACGAGGGACCUGUAGGCUAGCAGAGAGACAGAGGCAGAUUCUAGUUCACUCUGCGUGGGUCAAGGCUUGGGAGCAACUGGGGCUGGGGCACUUAGACACAGUCACAUGGAUCAGAGAAGGGGCACUGCAGCUGGGGUCAUGAUAGAUAUGUAGGAGCUGGCCAGGAGGGGACCAUGUGUUUUCUGAUAGUGGCAGAAGCUCCUUCCUUGUGCACAAGGAGACAGAGCCCUGGGGCAGCAGAAGGCCCCUGGGAUUAUUGUCCCUGGAGUAGUAGCCCUGGUAUUUGGAUCAGAUUCCCCUGAGUUUGAAUUUCUGUCUUCACUCUCUCACACGGCUUCUCUGACCUCAGUUUCCUGAUCUGUAGAACAGAUGACCAGAGCAGAUGAGGCCUUGGUCUUACUGAAUUCAAAGCCAAGUGGGGACAGGGACACUAGCCAGAGAAAUACGUGAGGUAAAUCAAGUGUGGCUGCUGGGUGGGGUGGCACAUGCCUGUCAUCCCAGCACCCAGGAGGCUGAGGCAGGAGGAUUAGCCUGAGUUGGAGGCCAGCCUAGGUGACAAAGCAAGACCCUGUUUCAAGAAACAAACAAACAAUCAAGUGUGGCACGCCUCAUGGAGACAGUAAUUCCAAAGGUGCCGCUGAGAGGGGCCGGCUGUUAGCAGACGGCGUCAGAGGCGGCGUCUCUGAGGAGGUGACAUUUGAGUUGAGAUCUGGAAGAUGACGUGGAACAGCCGAGCAGGUAUGCUGAGGAGCAGCAGUCUCCACAGAGCAUGGCCGUGCAAAGGCCUCGGGCAGCGUGGAGCCCGCAUGGUACCGGUGCAACUAGGAGGCCGUGGAGCCGAGGGAGAGAGAGGCAGAUAGAGCAGGGGAGGCGAGGAGGGGACGGGCGGCCCUGCGGGCUGCAGGGGGACCAGGGCUUUGGCCCAGGGAGGUGGGAGCCGCGGAGGGCUGAGGGAAGCGGAGGGAGGGACCGCACUCGGUGCUCACGGCGCCCCCUGGUGGCCGCUGCGGGGAGGACAGGUGGCGCGGAGCCGGGGACCAGGUGCAGGGGCUGCGCUGGUCCAGGCUGUCGCACUGUGUGGACAGAUGGCUGUCGCGAGCACGCGAUGAAAAUGUCACUAAGAGACGGCAUCGGCGUUUGCAUUUCGGCUGCACCAGAAUGUGCUGUGUGACCGCGGCCGAGUGGCCUGAUCCCUCUGACGUCCAGUUUUUCCGUCUGCACAAUGAGAGGGAAGGUGCUGGCCUCUGAGAGCUGGUGCAGGCGUAAAGUGAGUUCACAGUGGGGAAGAGCCCUGCCCAGCACUAACCCCGCGCUUCCCGCACGCUGAGCCGGCGGCAUUGGCACCCAGUAGGCGCUUGGAAGCCUGCAGUGAACACAUCCUCACCGUUGUUUUUUAUUUACUUAGUUUUGGUUUUCUGAGAUGGGCUCGCUGUGUAGUCCAGGCUGGCUCUGAACUAAUAGCGAGCGAUCUGCCUGCCUCAGCCUCUCAAGUGCUGGGAUCACAGGCGGGUGCCACUGUUUAUAAAUAUGGG